UACGAAGGGGGGCUAGCGUUGCUCGGAAUCACUGGGCGUAAAGCGCACGUAGGCGGAUCGUUAAGUCAGGGGUGAAAUCCUGGAGCUCAACUCCAGAACUGCCUUUGAUACUGGCGAUCUUGAGUUCGAGAGAGGUGAGUGGAACUGCGAGUGUAGAGGUGAAAUUCGUAGAUAUUGGGAAGAACACCGGUGGCGAAAGCGGCUCUCUGGACCGAGACUGACGCUGAGGCGCGAAAGCGUGGGGGAGCAAACAGG
rnacentral:rRNA from 1 species